rnacentral:rRNA from 1 species
GACGAACGCUGGCGGCGUGCUUAACACAUGCAAGUCGAGCGGUAAGGCCCUUUCGGGGGUACGACGAGCGGCGAACGGGUGAGUAACACGUGGGUAGACCUGCCCUCAGCUCUGGGAUAAGCCUGGGAAACCGGGUCUAAUACUAGAUAUGACUCCAUGACGCAUGUUGUGGGGUGGAAAGCCUUGUGCGGCUGAGGAUGGGCCCGCGGCCUAUCAGCUUGUUGGUGGGGGAUGGCCUACCAAGGCGACGACGGGUAGCCGGCCUGAGAGGGCGACCGGCCACACUGGGACUGAGACACGGCCCAGACUCCUACGGGAGGCAGCAGUGGGGAAUCUUGCGCAAUGGGCGAAAGCCUGACGCAGCGACGCCGCGUGAGGGAUGACGGCCUGGUGU